rnacentral:rRNA from 1 species
CCCUAGAGUUCUGGGCCGCACGCGCGCUACACUGACGGAGCCAGCGAGUCUAACCUGUGCCGAGAGGUAUGGGUAAUCUUGUGAAACUCCGUCGUGCUGGGGAUAGAGCAUUGCAAUUAUUGCUCUUCAACGAGGAAUUCCUAGUAAGCGCAAGUCAUCAGCUUGCGUUGAUUACGUCCCUGCCCUUUGUACACACCGCCCGUCGCUACUACCGAUUGAAUGGCUUAGUGAGGCUUCCGGAUUGAUUAAUUGGAGAGGGCAACUUUUCUGGUUGAACGAGAAGCUAGUCAAACUUGGUCAUUUAGAGGAAGUAAAAGUCGUAACAAGGUUUCCGUAGGUGAACCUGCGGAAGGAUCAUUAAGAAUUAUAAAUAUUUGUGAAAUUUACACAGCAAACAAUAAUCAUACAAUCAAAACAAAAAUAAUCAAAACUUUUAACAAUGGAUCUCUUGGUUCUCGUAUCGAUGAAGAACGCAGCGAAACGCGAUAUUUCUUGUGAAUUGCAGAAGUGAAUCAUCAGUUUUUGAACGCACAUUGCACUUUGGGGUAUCCCCCAAAGUAUACUUGUUUGAGCGUUGUUUCUCUCUUGGAAUUGCAUUGCUUUUCUAAAAAAUCGAAUCAAAUUCGUUUGAAAAACAACACUAUUCAACCUCAGAUCAAGUAGGAUUACCCGCUGAACUUAAGCAUAUCAAUAAGCGGAGGAAAAGAAACCAACAGGGAUUGCCUUAGUAACGGCGAGUGAAGCGGCAAAAGCUCAAAUUUGAAAUCGGCCACCAGGUCGAGUUGUAAUUUGUAGAUGGUAUCUUGAGAGCGGAUUAAGUCUGUUGGAACACACCCCCUUAAAAGGGGGAAGCCCCGUAAAAACUAUUCUCAUUGUAGAAACUUUCCAAAAAACCAAUUUUUUUGGGAAUGCACCUCUUAGUGGGGGGGAAAUUCCUUCU